CCUCGGCCGCGGGAAAUUCGAUUAGUUUGAUCCUGGCUCAGAACGAACGCUGGCGGCAGGCCUAACACAUGCAAGUCGAGCGCUACCUUCGGGUGGAGCGGUGGACGGGUUAGUAACGCGUGGGAAUAUACCCAGUUCUAAGGAAUAGCCACUGGAAACGGUGAGUAAUACCUUAUACGCCCUUCGGGGGAAAGAUUUAUCGGAAUUGGAUUAGCCCGCGUUAGAUUAGAUAGUUGGUGGGGUAAUGGCCUACCAAGUCUACGAUCUAUAGCUGGUUUGAGAGGAUGAUCAGCAACACUGGGACUGAGACACGGCCCAGACUCCUACGGGAGGCAGCAGUGGGGAAUCUUAGACAAUGGGCGCAAGCCUGAUCUAGCCAUGCCGCGUGAAUGAUGAAGGCCCUAGGGUCGUAAAAGCUCUUUCAACUGUGAAGAUAAUGACGGUAGCAGUAGAAGAAACCCCGGCUAACUCCGUGCCAACAGCCGCGGUUAAUACGGAAGGGGGGUUAGCGUUGUUCGGAAAUUACUGGGCGUAAAGCGUACGUAAGCGGGAUUAAUAR
rnacentral:rRNA from 1 species